AUUGAACGCUGGCGGCAGGCCUAACACAUGCAAGUCGAACGAAAGGCGGACGGGUGAGUAAUGGCUGAGAAACUGGCCGACGGAGGGGGAUAACUAAGGAAAAAGGUAGCUAAUACCGCAUACCAUCGGAUGUGCCCAGAUGGUAUUAGCUAGUAGGUGGGGUAACGGCUCACCUAGGGGACGAUCCCUAGCUGGUCUGAGAGGAUGACCAGCCACACUGGAACUGAGACACGGUCCAGACUCCUACGGGAGGCAGCAGUGGUGAAUAUUGCGCAAUGGGCGCAAGCCUGAUGCAGCCAUGCCGCGUGUAUGAAGAAGGCCUUCGGGUUGUAAAGUACUUUCAGCGAGGAGGCGUUACUCGCAGAAGAAGCAUCGGCUAACUCCGUGCCAGCAGCCGCGGUAAUAC
rnacentral:rRNA from 1 species